AGUAUUUGCGAUUGCUGGAAAGGCCUCUUGAUCUAACUUGCAAACAUGGUGUCAUCGACCAAGGGACUUCAACUGUAAGCCAUUGACCGGAUGGCCACCCUUUCAGAUUGCCUUGCAUUUUGGGUAUGGGCAGUCCACCUGGUGACCACAAAGCAAUUGUCCCGAUCAUUGUACACAUGUACCACACGUACAAGAAAGGCUUUUCACUUUGCACCCGAUGAAACUCAAUGGUGUCUA